rnacentral:rRNA from 1 species
AUUGAACGCUGGCGGAAUGCUUUACACAUGCAAGUCGAGCGGCAGCGCGGGGCAACCUGGCGGCGAGCGGCGAACGGGUGAGUAAUGCAUCGGAACAUGCCCAUUUGUGGGGGAUAGCCCGGCGAAAGCCGGAUUAAUACCGCAUGAGCCCGAGAGGAGAAAGUGGGGGACUCGAAAGGGCCUCACGCGAAUGGGUUGGCCGAUGUCCGAUUAGCUAGUUGGUGGGGUAAAGGCUCACCAAGGCGAUGAUCGGUAGCUGGUCUGAGAGGAUGAUCAGCCACACUGGGACUGAGACACGGCCCAGACUCCUACGGGAGGCAGCAGUGGGGAAUUUUGGACAAUGGGGGAAACCCUGAUCCAGCCAUUCCGCGUGAGUGAAGAAGGCCUUCGGGUUGUAAAGCUCUUUUGUCCGGAGCGAAACGGUUGUGGUGAAUAUCCACGACUACUGACGGUACCGGAAGAAUAAGCACCGGCUAACUACGUGCCAGCCGCCGCUGUAAUAC